rnacentral:tRNA from 1 species
GCCCGGCUGGCUCAGUGGGUAGAGCAUGAAACUCUUAAUUUCAGGGUCGUGGGUUCGAGCCCCACGUUGGGCG